rnacentral:rRNA from 1 species
UGGGAAGUAUUGCAUCAAUGGGCAGGCGAGCCUGCAUGCAGCCAUGCCGCGUGUAUGAAGAAGGCCCUAGGGUUGUAAAGUACUUUCAGUCGGGAGGAAGGCGUUGAUGCUAAUAUCAUCAGCGAUUGACGUUACCGACAGAAGAAGCACCGGCUAACUCCGUGCCAGCAGCCGCGGUAAUACGGAGGGUGCAAGCGUUAAUCGGAAUUACUGGGCGUAAAGCGCACGCAGGCGGUUGAUUAAGUUAGAUGUGAAAUCCCGCU